rnacentral:rRNA from 1 species
UACGGAAGGGGCUAGCGUUGUUCGGAAUCACUGGGCGUAAAGCGCGCGUAGGCGGCCGGUCAAGUGCGGCGUGAAAGUCCUGGGCUCAACCCGGGGACGGCGCUGCGGACUGUUCGGCUGGAGUCCGGAAGAGGGUGGUGGAAUUCCGAGUGUAGAGGUGAAAUUCGUAGAUAUUCGGAGGAACACCAGUGGCGAAGGCGGCUCACUGGCCCGGUACUGACGCUGAUGUGCGAAAGCGUGGGGAGCAAACAGG